rnacentral:rRNA from 1 species
AGUCGAGGGGCAGCAUGGACCCAGCUUUGCUGGGUUUGAUGGCGACCGGCGCACGGGUGAGUAACGCGUAUCCAACCUGCCCUUUACUCCGGGAUAGUCUCCUGAAAGGGAGUUUAAUACCGGAUGUGUUUGUCUUUCCGCAUGGGAGCGACAAAUAAAGAUUAAUUGGUAAAGGAUGGGGAUGCGUCCCAUUAGCUUGUUGGCGGGGUAACGGCCCACCAAGGCGACGAUGGGUAGGGGUUCUGAGAGGAAGGUCCCCCACAUUGGAACUGAGACACGGUCCAAACUCCUACGGGAGGCAGCAGUGAGGAAUAUUGGUCAAUGGGCGGGAGCCUGAACCAGCCAAGUAGCGUGAAGGACGACGGCCCUACGGGUUGUAAACUUCUUUUAUAAGGGAAUAAAGUUCGCCACGUGUGGUGUUUUGUAUGUACCUUAUGAAUAAGCAUCGGCUAAUUCCGUGCCAGCAGCCGCGGUAAUACGGAAGAUGCGAGCGUUAUCCGGAUUUAUUGGGUUUAAAGGGAGCGUAGGCGGGCUUUUAAGUCAGCGGUCAAAUGUCGUGGCUCAACCAUGUCAAGCCGUUGAAACUGUAAGCCUUGAGUCUGCACAGGGCACAUGGAAUUCGUGGUGUAGCGGUGAAAUGCUUAGAUAUCACGAAGAACUCCGAUCGCGAAGGCAUUGUGCCGGGGCAUAACUGACGCUGAGGCUCGAAAGUGCGGGUAUCAAACAGG